rnacentral:rRNA from 1 species
CGGAGGGAUCAUUAAAGAGUUCUAUAACUCCCAAACCCAUGUGAACAUACCUAACGUUGCCUCGGCAGGUCGCACCUACCUUGUAGCACCCUACCCUGUAGGGCCUACCCGGGAGGUGCGGGUAAGCCUGCCGGCGGCCCACCAAACUCUGUUUGAUAUUGAAUUCUGAACCUAUAACUAAAUAAGUUAAAACUUUCAACAACGGAUCUCUUGGUUCUGGCAUCGAUGAAGAACGCAGCGAAAUGCGAUAAGUAAUGUGAAUUGCAGAAUUCAGUGAAUCAUCGAAUCUUUGAACGCAUAUUGCGCCCAUUAGUAUUCUAGUGGGCAGGACCGUUCGAGCGUCAUUUCAACCCUUAAGCCUUCGUUGCUUAGUGUUGGGAGCCUACGGCAACGUAGCUCCUCAAAGUUAGUGGCGGAGUUGGUUCACACUCUAGACGUAGUAAUUUUUUAUCUCGCCUAUUAGUUGGACUAAUCCCCUGCCGUAAAACCCCCAAUUUAUCAAGGUUGACCUCGAAUCGGUUCAGACAAACUCGCUAAAUUGAAGCAUCUUAGUCAGCGAAGGAAAAGAAACCAACAGGGAUUGCCCUAGUAACGGCGAGUGAAGCGGCAACAGCUCAAAUUUGAAAUCUGGCCCUCGGGUCCGAGUUGUAAUUUGUAGAGGA